rnacentral:rRNA from 1 species
GAGUUUGAUCUUGGCUCAGAUUGAACGCUGGCGGCAGGCCUAACACAUGCAAGUCGGGCGGUAGAGAGAAGCUUGCUUCUCUUGAGAGCGGGCGGACGGGUGAGUAAUGCCUAGGAAUCUGCCUGGUAGUGGGGGAUAACGCUCGGAAACGGACGCUAAUACCGCAUACGUCCUACGGGAGAAAGCAGGGGACCUUCGGGCCUUGCGCUAUCAGAUGAGCCUAGGUCGGAUUAGCUAGUUGGUGAGGUAAUGGCUCACCAAGGCGACGAUCCGUAACUGGUCUGAGAGGAUGAUCAGUCACACUGGAACUGAGACACGGUCCAGACUCCUACGGGAGGCAGCAGUGGGGAAUAUUGGACAAUGGGCGGAAGCCUGAUCCAGCCAUGCCGCGUGUGUGAAGAAGGUCUUCGGAUUGUAAAGCACUUUAAGUUGGGAGGAAGGGCAGUAAAUUAAUACUUUGCUGUUUUGACGUUACCGACAGAAUAAGCACCGGCUAACUCUGUGCCAGCCGCCG